GGGUGAGGUAGAUGAGAGUUAUAGGGAGGAGAGUUAGAGGGGGUGAGGUAGAGGGAGGAGAGGUAGAGUGGGGUGAGGUAUAGGGAGGAGAGGUAGAGUGGGGUGAGGUAGAGGGAGGAGAGGUAGAGUGGGGUGAGGUAGAUGAGAGUUAUAUGGAGGAGAGUUAGAGGGGGGUGAGGUAGAGGGAGGAGAGGUAGAGUGGGGUGAGGUAUAGGGAGGAGAGGUAGAGUGGGGUGAGGUAGAGGGAGGAGAGGUAGAGGGGGUGAGGUAGAGGGAGGAGUGGUAGAGGGGGUGAGGUAGAGGGAGGAGAGGUAGAGGGAGGAGAGGUAGAGUGAGGUGAGGUAGAGGGAGGAGAGGUAGAGGAUGAUGAGGUAGAGGGAGGAGAGGUAUAGAGGGGUGAGGUAGAGGGAGGAGAGGUAUAGUGGGGUGAGGUAGAGUGGGGUGAGGUAGAGG
ensembl:lncRNA